rnacentral:rRNA from 1 species
GACGAACGCUGGCGGCGUGCUUAACACAUGCAAGUCGAACGGAAAGGCCUGCUUUCCCUUGUGGAUUGCGGGUACUCGAGUGGCGAACGGGUGAGUAACACGUGAGUGAUCUGCCCCCAACUUGGGUAUAAGCCUGGGAAACUGGGUCUAAUUCCCGAUAGGACUGCAGGGUGGUGCCUGUGGUGGAAAACGAUUUUCUAGUGGUUGGGGAUGAGCUCGCGGCCUAUCAGCUUGUUGGUGGGGUAAUGGCCUACCAAGGCGGCGACGGGUAGCCGGCCUGGGAGGGUGGACGGCCACAUUGGGACUGAGAUACGGCCCAGACUCCUACGGGAGGCAGCAGUGGGGAAUAUUGCACAAUGGGCGGAAGCCUGAUGCAGCGACGCCGCGUGGGGGAUGUCGGCCUUCGGGUUGUAAACUCCUUUCGACCGCGAGGAAGCCACCUGGUUGGAAGGGUGGUGACGGUAGUGGUAGAAGAAGCACCGGCUAACUACGUG